GUGAGAUCGUGACCUGAGCUGAAGUCAGACGUUUAACCGACUGAGCCACCCAGGAUAUGACUUAUCUCCAUGAACGUCCCUUGCACGCUUGAAAAUGAUGUGUAAUAUGCCAGAGACCCAGUCGAAAUGCCCUGAAGAGACAGUUGGUAGAAAUAUGGCCCGUCGGGGUGGGCUGGUGAGGACUGAGGACGAAGGGAAUGCUGCCCUCGGACAGGACACACACCACCAUGAGCAGGAUGUUUGUUGGUGGCAAGGUGAGCAUUAAAGGUGGUGGGGUCUCCGAUGGAAACAAGGAACGUGCUACUGGAAACCAGGGGAACAACGAGCCCGGUUGUGCAGUGGCAGAAAACUGGGCUGGACUGCAUUCUGAUGUCAGGCAGAAUGCCUUGCAGGUGAUGAACUUGGAUACUGGCUGAGCAGAUUUAUAAGCAAAGUGUUAAAGGCGUGGGCUGCUUUCCUCUUGCUGCUCAUAGUAGAACGUGAGAGAAAAGAGAGAAAUUGAGGAAAGUCUCUUAAGCAAAAGUGAACCAGCGCUUAAUGAUUUGGGCCUAUCUGGAUUGCAAAGAACACUAAAAUUAGGAAAUUGCCUAUUGGAAAAGCAUGUUGGAAACAGAGGGCCAAGGGUGUGGCUGCACAGCCGCUUGCCGGAGAGGCUGGUGUGCGACUCUUAAGUCACUCAGCCGUCGCAGCAGAGCCCAGCGGGAAAGGUGGGCUCACUGCCCCCCCCCAUUUAAGGGAGCCCCGUGUGUGUCUGCGAAUGCUGUGUCGGCAGAUGCACCGCUCGUCGGCACUGAGAGCAACAGAUUCAGGGCGGAGUGAAAGAGUGCUAUCAGACUUUCUAGAAAGUUCUAUAAGCAGGAAAGGGGCUGACAGGGCUGGUGAGCUGCAGGUAUGUGCAACCCCUCAGGAUAAAGGAAGAACACAGCUCUGAGGACGGGGCUUCCAGUCGCAGAGGAUUCUUCUCGGGUCUUGAAACUUAACGGAAUUUUCUCUGCUGCAUUUUGAGUUUACUUGGGAGUGGUGACCCCUUUGUCUCUUCCACGUUCUCUUUUUGGAAUGGAAAGGUCUGUCCUGUGCUCGACCUGCCCAUGUACUUGGGAAACAGGUGUCUUGUUUUCCAGCUGCACAGAUGAAGAGGAAUUCUGCCUUGGGAUGCGCCACACCCAGAGUGUCACUAGCACCUGAGAGACAUGGUGACCCUUGGGACUCGUGAGCUGAUCAUGCUUAGGUGGCAUUUUAGGCCUGGAGCUCACGCCGCAGUGCUGAGCGGGGUAUUCUGCACACAGGAUGGACACAGAUGUUGGAGGACCCAACAGUGGACUGUGGUAGGUUUAAUGGUGGCCCCCCAAAAGAUAUGUCCACCCAGAACCUAUGAAUGGGACCGUCUUUGGAAAGACACUCUUUGCAGGUGUAAUUAAGGAUCUCGAGAUGGGUGUCAGCCUGCGUUAAGCUGGGCCCUGAAGGGGCGCCUGGGUGGCGCAGUCGGUUAAGCCUCCGACUUCAGCCAGGUCACGAUCUCGCGGUCCGUGGGUUCGAGCCCCGCAUCGGGCUCUGGGCUGAUGGCUCAGAGCCUGGAGCC